rnacentral:rRNA from 1 species
CAAGUCGAACGGGCCUGGUAGCAAUAUCAGGUCAGUGGCGUAAGGGUGAGUAAGGCGACGGCAACCAACCCCAUGGNUUGGGCAUAGCCGCGGGAAACUGCGGGUAAUUCCCAGCGAUGUUCGUGCCGGGCAUCCGGCGUGAACCAAAGUUUCGGCGCCGUGGGACGGGCCGUCGUGGUAUUAGGUUGUUGGCGGGGUAAUGGCCCACCAAGCCUCUGAUGCCUACCGGGCGUGCGAGCGUGGCCCGGCACACUGGGACUGAGACACUGCCCAGACUCCUACGGGAGGCUGCAGUCGAGAAUCUUCGGCAAUGGGCGCAAGCCUGACCGAGCGACGCCGCGUGGAGGAUGAAGGCCUUCGGGUUGUAAACUCCUGUCGAGGGGGAGGAAGGCGCAAGCUUGACCUAUCCCUGGAGGAAGCACGGGCUAAGUUCGUGCCAGCAGCCGCGGUAAGACGAACCGUGCGAACGUUAUUCGGAAUCACUGGGCUUAAAGCGCGUGUAGGCGGAUGGGGACGUCGGUUGCUGAAAUCCCCCGGCUCAACCGGGGAACGGGCACCGAAACGCCCCGUCUGGAGGGACGUAGGGGGACCUGGAACUUCCGGUGGAGCGGUGAAAUGCGUUGAGAUCGGAAGGAACGCCCGUGGCGAAAGCGAGGUCCUGGACGUUUUCUGACGCUGAGACGCGAAAGCUAGGGUAGCGAACGGGAUUAGAUACCCCGGUAGUCCUAGCUGUAAACGAUGGGCACUGGGUAGAGGGCUCGCCGAUGGGCUCUCUGCCGAAGGGAAACCGUGAAGUGCCCCGCCUGGGGAGUAUGGUCGCAAGGCUGAAACUCAAAGGAAUU